AGCGUCGUGGCGCAGUGGUAGCGCGUUGGGCUCAUAACCCAAAGGUCCUUGGAUCGAAACCAAGCGACGCUA
rnacentral:tRNA from 1 species